AUCCGUUGCGCUGUGCGUGACGUCGGUGCCUUUCAUUGCCAUGUGUAAGAGAAGUGUCCCGUAACACUUUUGUGUGCAAUGCGUGUGCCUCAACUUUUUGUCACAUCUGUACGUAGUGCGCACCUGACAAUCGAGUGUGCCGGCAAGCAUAUUCGCCACCCCCCGAAAAGCCGAAAAAAGAACUACAAGUUCUACCUGUGUGUAGGCCAUCGUGAAGUAGCUGCUGUCACCUUGAAACCAGCAUGGAUCCUUCUGUCAAGCGUCUUGUGGAGUGUGUCUGCCUCACUUUUUUUCUCAGUCUGGUGUGUUCUGAUGACGACUUUGAGAAAUGGCACCGCAUACACACCCCUCCAAGGUUGCCUCCUGGAAUGAUCUUUAUGAUUGCUGCCGUGUUGAUGAUCGCAGCAAGCUUAGUUAUCUUGUGUUGCUAUUGGAUUCGACGAAAACACAGCAUGCAAUAUACCAGUCCCCACAUUCCACCGCCACUAGCGCCAGCUGUGUCUCCGGUGACAUCGGGAGUUCGGAUGCAGCCUUCCCAGGGAGUGCAUUCACUGGUACAUGAAGCAUCUCAGUCUGCGGCAGCAUUACAGCCCCAACCGCCGUACUACCAGCAGCCCGCUCUUCCUUACCACCCCAGACUGCCCUACAAGAGUAGUAAUAUGGCACCACUGGUACAGCCGUUCGUUGCUCCGUACUCGUCACCACCUGUGCCGUUUGAUCCACCCCCACCUUAUGCCAGUCAGAACGUAUCCCCUGAAACCUAUUUCAGAUAGUCGUAAUAUAGCUUAGCGAGGAUUGACAGUCAUACAAAUGUUGAACCGUCACGAUGGCCUGUUGAUGAGGUCAUAGGUUCACUUUUCUAUAAAAUUUAGCUGACUACCAGUGCCUUAGAAAACUUAGAGGAUGCCUGACAAGCUCUGAUCCUGGUAGUCAAACAUCGCUGAAGAACAGUGACACCAUCCAGGCAAUGUGACCAGUUGGACCACUCAAAAACUUUAGAUAGUGAACUCAUAAUGUCCACAAACGGGGUUGGCACAUUGCAAUGACCAAAGGCAUUGUUUUUAAACUCAUUAGUGUAGCCCUAAAGUGUUACAAUUUAUAUGUAUAUAUACGCAAAGGUGAAGAGAAUGCGCAUGAUACGUUUACAUGUAUUCUUAUGCAUGUGUUGGCAUAAAUAUGGUAUUUAAAUGUGGGUAGACAUGUGGUAUGGGAAAAGUAAUUGCUGCAGUGGUGCUGUCAGCGGCGCUGUAUCGUCUGUGAUGUGCAGCACCAGGCUAGCCUUUUCCAGUACUGUCCUUAUGGCAGUGAUGGCUUUCUUGUGAGUGGAAACUGUGCCAUGGAGUGAGACAAGCACAAUGUCAGUGUAAGCAGAGCCGAGGCUCACGAAGGAUGAGUAGAGUAGACGACAUGCAAUAGUGUGUGCUGUGCAUUGAAAAGGCUGGGGCUGGGCAGCCUUGUGGGGUUGACGAGAGACUUUUAGCUGAGUCUUGAUUUGGCUUAUACAUGGCUUUCAUUUUUAUCAGUCUACCCAAUCUGCAGGUUCCUAACACUUCUGUGCAGUGCCUUCGUGCUCUUAGGAUGCUGAAUCGGGUCUGCCCUAGAAAUGAUGUUCAUCUGUCGGCAUUUCAUUUUUGGCUUCAUACUUCUUGCAAAGUACGGUAUAUUGAUAGGCUCUCAUAGCAUUAAAUGUGGGGUGAAGACGAGUUUUGUUCUGUGAGGAAACUUGAAGGUUUAAUCAUGAGCAACGAAUACGACAGAGGUGGCCCAUCACAACAUUGAAAAUUGUGAAAAUAAUCAAGAGCUGUGGCAUCAUGAUUUCGAUGGAGAAGGUAAAGUGCUUACGGCAACUCAUUGCAUACUAUAGUGCUCUUUUUAUUGCACAAUAGAAUCUGCUUUUGAAGUGACCAAAGCGGUGUAGACUGAUGUUUUAUUUUUUGUCAUUCGGAGGCACUCUGUUUUAUGUAUGCUAUGCCAUAGUAUCCCUAUAAAUACGGUACACUAUAUCCCGAGUACUCAUGACAACACAUGUAUUAUACCAAUGUGUAAAAUACAGUGCACCUGUCAUAGUUCUUUUCAUCUGUUUCUCAUUAUCCUCCACAAAGCUUCUGUGACAUUGAGUUUAUUGCGUUGAGUACAUUCCAAUUCCAUGCUUUGUCAUUUUAUUUUACUUUAUUUAUUUAUCACUUGUGACAACAUAAGAGAAGGACUUGGCAAGAAACAAAUGUUGCAGUGUUCUUAUUUAGGUUGUGACAAGUGUUAGAUCAUGUAAACAAAAGGUGCCCAGUGUAAGAGGACGCAUUUAAUCAUUCAUUAAGUGGCAUGAGAGGGCAAGCAGUGAAAGAGUAGUGAUCAAGGAAGCACAGCGCAGUGUUAACACACAUCAUCUUGGCAUGGGUCUCCAAAUUAUCAUGCCAUCUUCUAUUAUCGAAUGAUAUUGCCUGUGCCAGCUACAAUAACACAGUGUUAUUUUCACUAUGAGCAGCUUGAUGAGAGGAAGUGCUUCAUUUGCUUCUGCUGCUAAACGCCCUGCCAGGGCUCAUAAUUGCCAGCGCCAAAAUCUACGCAUGCUCACCAAUUGAGCAGCUACCAAGUGCCUCUGCCAAGAGGACCAUGCUGGUCAUGCUGCCAAAUAAAAAGCCCAUUGCUGCUGUGUAGACAUAUCUAGUUGUCUGCCUCAAAUAAUAUGUCUUAGAUAUCACAAAAUCAUAACACUUAAAUGGCCACACUCAAAUUUCGCAGAAAUAAAUAUCUGAGCUAUUGGUGUGAUUGUUUUAACUCGCACUUGUAAACAACAGCUUUUUUUAAUGCUGCAUAAAAAUUUUAAUGAAAGGUGUUCAUACUGUGCAAAAUGCAAUGGUGCAAUGCAGGAAAAAAAAAAGACAAGCACAGAAAUGAUCGGUCUGUACCUUUUGUUUUAUUUGUCUUACAUUUCAUAAUUAUCUUUUGCACUGUGUAAAAAGAGUUUGAAGAAAACUUGAGUUCAUUGUGAGUAACAAUUCGGUUUCUGAAAAGCUAAUAACUUUGCCAGCGCAUGAUUGGUGACAAACUAGCCUUCCCAUUUUUUCUGGCAAAGCGAGCUCUUCGAAAACCAAGUCACUGCAGAACACAGUUUCUUGUAGGUGAAUAUUCACGAAUUUCAUAUAUCGGGUAGUACCUAAGGGAGACUCAAAUGCGUGCUCACAAGUCCUAAGCUUUUACAUAAGUUUCAUAAGAAUCUCAAGAGAUAAGAUCAGUACUUCCAGUACAGUAAGUUAUUAUUGCUCUAGCUUCCUUGUUGAAGUGCUUGUAUGCAUGAUAUAUGCGAGUUUUCAAUGAAUAUGCACAAUUUAAAUCACAUUGUCAACCAUAAAAUUGAACCGCCUCUUUGGCUCCUUUAGAAACUGCAAUAUUAUGCUCUCAUGCUCUUAGUUUCUGCAGGUAUAAGCUGCACUGCAUUUGCCUGUUUGUUGGGACAGAAUGUUUAACUGCUGCAUUUGAGUGAGCAACAUUUGCUGCCCUCUUUAUGCUCGAGCAUCACGAUAAGCUUGUAAACAUGAGUGUCCUUUCUUGUGCCUUCUUUUAUACUGUGAUACACAAGGCUAUUUCGCCUGAUGAAAUGUGCCUGUCUGUAUUUAUUUGAUACUUAUAGUAUGUCCUAUUUUACGUCUCACAUUGUAAAUGAUCAUGUUGUCCUGUGUGCCAUUUCAUUCCGACUUUGCCUGAAUUAAUAAAGGUGUUAGUCACUGUUAUUUUGUA